UACGUAGGGUGCGAGCGUUGUCCGGAAUUAUUGGGCGUAAAGAGCUCGUAGGCGGUCUGUUGCGUCCGCUGUGAAAACUCGGGGCUUAACCCCGAGCCUGCAGUGGAUACGGGCAGACUAGAGGUAGGUAGGGGAGAAUGGAAUUCCCGGUGUAGCGGUGAAAUGCGCAGAUAUCGGGAGGAACACCGGUGGUGAAGGCGGUUCUCUGGGCCUUACCUGACGCUGAGGAGCGAAGGCGUGGGGAGCGAACAGG
rnacentral:rRNA from 1 species